GACGAACCGUGCGACCGUUGUUCGGAAUCACUGGGCUUAAAGUGCGCGUAGGCGGAUUCUCAAGUCGGUGGUGAAAUCGUUCGGCUCAACCGGACAAGUGCCGCCGAUACUGGGGGUCUCGAGGGAGGUAGGGGUCGCGGGAACUGGUGGUGGAGCGGUGAAAUGCGUAGAUAUCACUAGGAACGCCGGUGGCGAAAGCGCGCGACUGGACCUCUUCUGACGCUGAGGCGCGAAAGCCAGGGGAGCAAACGGG
rnacentral:rRNA from 1 species